UUCAGGAAGAUGUGGACCCCAAUCACAGAGUAUCCCCUCAAGGGCAAUUGUGCAAAUUUGCUUUAUCAUCUGAGAGAUUAGUUGCUGAGUCUGGUUCCUGUGAGCUGUGCAAUCCUACUGCACGAGCCUCCUUUAUCUUCUCUGCCUUACUUCCCUUCCUGUAAAAUCCAAAUAGAAACUGCCUAUAUAUAUAGGAUCAGUAAGGAAUAUUUCAUAUAAGAUCAGUAAGGAAAGCUCUUACUCCUCUAAUUCGUAUUUGUGGUGCUCUAAUAAAGGACAAGCAGUUAUUAUGGGCUGAUAUUUAAGUAAAUGUAAAGAAUAUCAUUAGAGGAAAGCAUUGAAUAUAGCAUUGCAGAGUCAAGGAUAAACGUCAUCAAAAUAGGAAACUGAUGGCAUUUGAGAUUAGUGCACUUGGAAUUCAUGAUCAAUUUUUGUUCUGUCUAAAUAUUUCUAAAGGGAAGGGAUGAUGAACUUAAGUGUUUUUGAGAGUGUGCCAUAAAAAAAUGAGGCCCACAGCAGGGAUUGUUUUCAUAGCUAAUUACGUGAGAAAAUAUUAAUAAUAUGUUCAAGAAAUCUUAGUAAUAUAAUUCUUUGUUUUCUAUGCUGCUUAGAUAUUGGUGGAGCUUUCUAAAUGUUAGCAUAUUUCCUGUCACACAGGGCUGACUCUUGUCUUUGGGAGUAAGAAAAGUUCUUGUCUUUUCAACAGGAUAAGGAGAUUCAUGUUUAUCCAAAUUCAAGGUGUAGAUGUUUUCUGUAAUUAGAUUUAAAGAGUUCUCUUAGUAAGUGAUUUUUUUAGUUACAAAUGCCUGCAGGGCAUUGUGCCUGAAUGGCAUCAUCUCUCAUAUCAUUUUUGUGGAGCAAGGAAGAUAGACCCAUCAGCAUCUCUGGAGCCAGCCAUGACUGUGACCCCAUGGUUUUUGAACCAUCUUUAGCUGGUAGAUAAUUUUGAUAACUGCUGCUAAUAAUAACUUUGGGGUUAUUAUUAGGGUUGAUAGUACUGAAAUCUAAUCUGAUCAGAGUUCAUCCUUUCCACAGUUGCAAGAAAAAUAUUGAAUGCAUUACUAAAUUCAAAUGUUUUAUUACCUUAAGUUGUAUCCUCACAGUGGGGUAAAUCAAAUUUCAUUACUCUUCAGAAAUCUAUGUGUAAGCUGCAUAUGAACAAAGUGGUUAGCAAUCAUUGUUUUUAUGGUAAGAGAGGGACACAGAUAAUUUGUAUUCAUGUUAUCAGGACCAUUUUCAGGGUUUUCGUCAAAGCAGUAGCAAUGAGUGUGUCUGAUGCCUGUUGUGUCAAGCUCUAAUAUGCUUUCUUAUGGUCACUUGUUUUGAUUGAAGAGGAAUUGCUAGAGCUGAGAGGACAAAAUGAAUGCUAUUACAGAGAGCGUUAUAGGCACAGAGAAAAGAACAAAACUUAGCGAGCCCUCAGUACGUGAGGGCUGCCUAUUACCUCUGCAGCCGUGCAGUGAGCAUCCAUGAGAGCCAUUUAUAAAGUGUGCCUGCGUGGGGCUCGGAUGGCACCCUCUGAUGAUGAGUUAAUUGAACGGUGUCAGCCAGGGCACUCCUGGCCCUGGAAAGAGGCUGACAGGAUGAUGGCAGCAGUCACUACUUCAUUACUUAGAAACAAAAUCAGAGAUUCUUCAUUUUAAAGGCAGGAGCUGCCAAGCAGUUUAAGAGCAAACAGUUUAAUGUGUGGGGGUGGAUGAGGUUAGGAGCUUUUAUGUGUGAAGAGCUUCACUUAACCCUGUGAUGGCAUUCCACUCUUGAUCUGUCUGUGGCAUCCCAGCAGACAGGUCAGUCCUACUGUUUUAACUCUGGUUUUUGAUUCUCACCAACCAAAUCUAUUUUAAUUGUUUAAUUAAAUUAAUUUUCCUCAAGUAAGUCUGUUUUGCCCAUGACAGUAAUUGGCAAGAGAUCUCUGUCUUUAUCUUGACUCACAAGGUUUUUAAUCUCAUUUUCUCCCUGUCCUACCGAGAAGGGGGAGUGAUAGAGAGACUGGGUAGCCAUGUGGCAGCUAGAGAAGGUCAACAGAGCAUCCUAUACAUUGUAGCUGCCUCAGUCAUGCCAGUGCUGCUAUUCAGUGUUCCAUUUUCUCCAAUCCUUUACAAAGAUCAGUGUGUAAGCAUAAGGAGGUAACAAAUAGAACUGGCAGCUGCUUUAUUGCUUGAAAAUUCUGCCUUCUUCAGUAGUCAUCUUAUAAAUGGGAUUUAUUUCCAGUGUUGGCUAUGCUUUGUCCCCUUACGCUUUUCAACCUUGUCCCUCACACCAUCCAUUAGAAAAAACGAAAAAAAUGUUGAGAAGUGUCACUGCUUUGUUCUAUAGGAUGAUUUGGGAUUUGUGCCUCUGUUUUCACUUGUAGAUGGAGUCCUCUGGCUAAGGAGUAUUUUCCAUAGUUAGUGCUUCUCAGAGGAGGAUUGUUGUCUAAGAAAAGUAAGAAUCACAAAUGCCACACUUGAUACCUGGGUGCUCAGCCCAUCCAUCUCAGAUGUACCCAUACCCACGAGGGAAAAAUGUCUCCCUUCCUGAUCCUGUUUGUCACAGAAGCGGGUUUGGCUGUGAGGUAAGGUCCCAGCUUAAGGCUGGGAUACAGGGAACAGGGCAUGGGCAGCAGCCCACAGCCCCCCCCGAAUGCUCACCAGGUGCAGACUGUCCCUACCCAGCCUGUCAGGCAUCACAGUUCUGUCUCUGUGCCCCUUUGAACUACUGUCAGCUUUUAUUGUGUGUAAGCACAAUAACAGGAAGGGAGGUCAUAGUAUAUUUUAACAUUUUUAAUGAAAGACAACAUUGGAUGUACAGACUGCAGUCAUGGUAGUAGAUUUGGCACUGAUGUCAAUGUAAGUAAAAAACUGAGAAAGGACAAAAUGUCUCAAAUUCCAAGUUUUAAAUGUUAAAUGAAGUAAACUGUAAGAAAUUUUCAGCAGCAGUGUCCCAUAAUUCCAGUAAAUAAAUGGAAGUAUUUUACAUAUUUUACAGAGGUAUUUUACAUCUUUUACUACUUAUUUUGCUGUUUUCAUACAUGCUAAAUUCUUCUGAAAAUACAGUUUAAAUGGUCUUUGGAGCAUCCUCUAUAAUCUAUAGAUGGUGAAACAGGAAAUUUCUAGACUGAAAGUUUGAAAAUACUGCUGUUACUAUCAUUUUCAGCAGUAGUGACUGUCAGUAUUCAAUCUUGGCUUCCUCCAGCUGGCCAUUAAUAGUUUAGUUUCUUAUCAGCUUUUCUAUUUUUAUAUCUUAUUGGAUUUGGAUGUAUAUUUAAGAUUACAUGUGAAUUUUUCCGUUUUACCUUGCAUUCAAGAAGCCAUGCAUUUUUUGUUACUUGUCCAGUUUUUAGGGAUUGUUCAUUGAAUUCAAUUUUAGGAAAUUACAGCUCAUGUAAUGACAAAAGGAUGGCAUAAUUCAAAUAAGUUGCAGCAUGAGAGAUUUUGAAAAACAGUUUUAACUCCCAAAUCUGGUGGUUGUUGCUGGUGAUUUUUGAUUGCUGGUUCAUUUUUAUUUAAGAUUAGAUUUAAUUUUAGAUUUGAGGCCCAGAUCCAAAUGAUUCCUUCCACAGCAACUCCAAAACAUUCAGUCUGAAGAGGGUGAGGUAUAAUAAGAACAAACUUCUAGUGGUAUGUGCUUAGGUUGCUUUUCUGUCAUCUGCUACUUACCAGCCUUUACCAGAAUUUACAAUGUUUCAUUUCAUUUAAUGAGUGGUUUUGGUGAGGCCUGGAAGACAGAAGUUAUCUGAGUUUCUUUAAGAAACUCAUGCAUUAUUGCUCCCUCUGCUUCCUUUGCCUUUUAUAGGUAAUAAUUUCAAAUACUUAAUGUCUUGCUAUGUGAAUGUCUUUUCAAACCUUUGAUUAUUUUUGUUGCUUCUUCAGUCUUUUAAUAACCUUUCUUACACAAAAUUACUGGAACAGUGAAGUGUGUUUGAAGAAACAGAAGUUGAAUAGUGUUUUUGAAGAAACAAAAUCAGUGAUGUAUGAAAAGAUAUGUGUGUUUUGAUAUUAUAUUAUGUCCUACUCUUGGGACAACCUAACAUUUCUUCUAAAAUUUCUUUACCUGUUGAGAGGAAAUAUCACUGAGCUGUCCACAAUGAUAGUUCCAUCCCUUUCUGGUGGUGCUUUUGUGAUAAGAGAAUUGCGAUUGGUGUAACAUAGAUCUAAAUUUUUCUCUCCAUCUGCAUUUCUGGACUUGCAGCUUUCACUUCCAUUUUCAUUGUGUGGUCUCUUCCUGGAAAAUGAAGGUUCUAUGACAUUAAAACAUUUCUCGGGAUUACAGAGAUGACAUCAAAACAUUUCAUAGAAAGCAGGACUGGCAGGAGAGCUGGCCAGAUUGCAGAGUUUCUAGCCAGCCCUAGCAGCAGCAGCACUGCCAGGCUAGUGAGAUUCCAUGCAGCUCUUCCCAGACCUUUCAGGCUGUUUUGAUCCUCUGAACCUUUCCUUUGAGAUGUUGCAAGUUCCACACCCCCAGGAUGCCCAUUUUGUCUGUCCAGCUGCAGGCUGAGCUGACAACUCCCUCAGGGACCUGCGCCUCAUGUUGCCAUAUGGGAGAGUGGCUGACACUUCACCAACACUUACAGCAUGUCCAGCAAGAAAUACUCUGGUGCCAGGAACUCACUUUCUCAGCCAUCUCCUCAGGAAAUUGCUGACAGGUUUCUGAAAGAUACUUUGAAGUAAAAGAAAUUGGGCACUUGAAAAUGAUAAACAAUUGGCCCUUUGAGAAAAGCAGGUCUUCAGCAUCACUGCUGUAUUCAUCUUCAGCUGGUGGGAGGAUGUGCCAAAUCAACAUCUUGUCAUUGGCUGGUUUGGGUCUGGAGUAAAAAGCUAUUGUCAGGAAGUUUAAAUGACUGCUUGUGAUGCUCUUGGUAGUUUUGUAGGGAAUUUUUUUUUUUUUCCUUGGUUAAUGAAAACUAACUUUCUCAUUAAACCAAUCAUCCUUUCACAGGUUUCUUGGGAGUUCAGUCUGGAAACUUAUGUGAUUCUGUUUGAUGUUGUGUUUCAUGCCCUGAGAAAUAUAAAGUUCCAGAAACUAUUUUACGAGUUGUAAUUUACUUGAUGAUAUGCCAGAUAUUUUGUUUCUCUUAAUCCCUUGUAAGUGUUCACUAGGCUCACAGGUAAAACUCUCUCUCGUGUGCCAAUAUUGACAUGUGUUAUAUGUCACAUUUAAUUCCACAAUUCUAUGGAUUGUUUGCACAGUUUUUAAAAACUAGAACACAGUAUUCAUUGCUUCCCAGUCCUCUGAAACAGUGGCAGUUCACUACAGGUGUUGAUUGAAUUCUGAAGUUGCUCUGCCUGUGUGAGAUGAUGAAGAAACAUCUUGCAGUUUUAAUGAAAAAGAGAAUUGCACAAAAGAUUUUGGAAGGCAAAGGACUGCUGAGACUCUUGAGACAUAAUUCACAGCAUAGGGCUCUCAAAAGAAUAACAGUGAGGAAAAGGUUUGCUUAGGGAGAAUGCUAUGAGUAAUAUUUGAGAGCCUUAUGGGAAUAAAUGAACAAAACCUUAAAUAUUUGUGGAUAAAUAUUCUCAGGGGUUUCUUGCUUAUUGUGAAGGUAUUUUAUGUACUUUGUCAUAUAAAAACCUGUGGUAUUUCUGGAAAACAACCACUGGGGGAGGGGAGGUUAGGGGGAGUAAUCUACAAAAAAAAAAGAGUAAAUGGGCCAGUGUCUGAUUUCUCUCUUGUUAAGGCAGGAAGGUAUCAUAGAAAGGCAUCAGUCCCAGCAGACUUGUGAGAAUAUCUCGAAAAUAGUAAAAUAUUCCUUAUAUUUUAUUAUUAUAUUACUUAGAGUUAUUUGAUGCAUAUCUUACUUGAAUCCUAGAACUGUAGACUCUAUGUGGAAUUUGUAGUUUUCAAAUGACUGGGAUAAUGUGGAAAGUUAUGUACAUUUUUGAGGAAAAUGCUGGCAUUCUUGGUAGCAUUUUAAUCCCAGAAAUGGAGUUAUUUACUUGAGGAAAUUAUUUUUGACCUUCUUUCUCUCUGCUUUGACUUUAUGCUGUCAAGUUACAAAAUUCAGCAUGGUACAUCAUACAGGCAGCAAUGGUUGAUAUAACAAUGAAGAAACCUAUUGAAUAUAUUUAAUUGGGUGCCAAUUUAAGGAAACCAGAGAAAAUUGCUGUACAACUGCUGGGUGAGUUGGCUGGUUCUAAACUAGCUUUAGGUGAAUGUAAUUAGCAUCACUGCCAUGUUUUUUGUGAUUGAUUUUUUUAUAAGGUUGUGAACUAGAGAAAUGAAAAUAAAAGGAACAUUCUACUGUAUUUCAUAUUACCUUAAAAAUCAGGUCCAACAGUUUACAAGUCAAAUAGUUGUGUGACUAGGGCUUAUUAUCCUCCACACAUCCCAUAUUUUAAUUGAUUUGAUUUUUUGGAGAUAAAUGUCUUGUGUCACAUAUGUAGCACAAAGCAUAACACAAUAUAAUGCAAUUUCAUCAAGGAUCUUUUGUAAUUGCUUAUCACACAUGGCUGUUCAUGAUAGAUAGAAACAAUAAAAAAAUAAAUGAAAAAUAUUCAAGCCAAACAAUGUUAUCUUCUGAAUUGUUGAAUUUUUUUCCAAUAUGUCCAGAUCUGAACACUCAGAAAACAUCAAUCUCUUCAGGAAUGCACUAGGAACUGUGGGAUAGAAUUGAUAAACAGCUUAUUUUCCACAGAUUUGAAAUCAAUAGUGGGGACUUUAAGGAAGACAACUGCUGGCUGCUGUAUGGGGUGUAAGGAACACUUCUGAGUGCCUGGAGCAAGGUCAUCAUAUUUAUCAAGUCAAUUCUUGUUUUUUUGUUUUAGUUGUUCUAUUGAGGCAGUGUUAGGAGAGCAGUUACAAAGUGUCUCUUUCAAUUAGUGAAAAUACAUUAUCUAAAAAUGGUAUAAUUUAAGAAUCCGUAAGUCGGGAAAACUAAUUAGAGAAAAUAAUUUAUCAAAUAAGAAUUUAGGGUUUUGUUUCAGAACCAAACUUCAGCUGUACUGCUGGAUAUGUGCUUUGAUGUGUUGGACUGUAGUAAGCCUUCAUUCAUUCACAAAAUUAAAGUUAUACAAAUAUAAUUUAAAAAUGUACUCAUUAUUCCUUUGUAACUUGUGCUUCCUAGUAACUAGCAUUAGUUCCCAAAAUGCUGUUGUGUACAGAUGAACAACCUCACUUUCUGCAGUCUGUGGUAACAGAGACCCUCAAAUAAACUGAAUUGGUUUUGGUUACUGUACUUUCAUCUCAUCUUGUCCCACCUAGUGCUGGGGAACCCUUUCUUUCCCUUUAGACAGAAGUAUGAAAUACCUGGGAAAGUCUUAAAAUGAGGAAACAGAUGCUGAAAACUGAAGUGGCUUUUCACACUUCUGUAAAGCUCUGUCCCUUAUCGGUAAACCAUGCAGGCUGCAAAGCACCUUCAGACUUCUCUAGCCCACCACCCUGCACAAAGCAGGUCCAAGCUUUGUCCAGCCAGGCUUUUGGUACCUACUGGACAGGAGCUGCACUGCCUUUCUAAGAGAUGUGUUCCCAGAAUGUGAGAUCCUCCUUGUGAAAAUGUUUGCUUAUAAAUCAAGAUUUCCUGUGUUGUACCUGAUGUCUGUUGUCACUCAUCCUACUGAUGUGCACUUCUCUUCCUUCUGUGGUCCUUGACAGUACUGGGGCAAUUAAUUCUCUUAUUAUAUCCUCCUUUGCUGUCAUUUAGCUCAGUUUUGCUUUUUUCCAGUAGCAAUAAGAAAAAUGUAUUUUAUCUUAAAAAACUACUACUGCCUCCAGUGCUUGAAAUGUGUUCUUUGCAUUGACAGAUAUUUAAUAUCACAGGUCAAAAUGGCAAAGCCAUUGCCAAUUCUGAUUCCAGGGUAAUAUUUAACAAAUUUUCAGUGUAAGUGACAAACUCCAGACAAUAUUCUAUAUGGCAGCCUAAUACACAGACCCCUUAUGACUAUUUGUAGCAGCACAUUUUUUAUAGUUUUGUGGGAUUUUUUAUUUAUUUUUCUCUUUUUUUCUGGUAUUGUAAGAUAUCUGGCUCACCGUCAUAUUAAGGGUUACUUAAUGUUAUCUUUUUAUGGGGCGUGUUCAUUUCUGACUUGGUGAUCUUAUUCACUGCUGCUUCCAAGUCCUGUAGACAUUCUUAGCAUUAAUAUGUGGUGUUCCUAAAUUAGUGAGAGGGAGACCAUGGUUACCUGGCCCCAUUUCAUGUUCCUUAUCUCCUGGGGUGUAAGAGCUCAGGGUUAUAAUUUGACAUCUGUCUCUGAUUUUGAUUAUAAAUAGAAGAGAAUUUGUUAUGUUCUCUCUGGCUUCCAAGGUUUCUGUAAGGGUGAGUACAAGGUGAUGGUUGCUCCACUAGGAUUGCCACCUGCUAGAUCUUAAUUGAGAACCACAGCUAAGAUCAUAACUAAUUCAUACUAGCUACAGCUUAAUUCAGCUAAGGACUUGUGCUCAUAGAUAAUAUUUUUAAGUAGUUGCUGAAUUACUUGUUUGCUGUGGCAAACUCCCAUUUUCUUCCAUUUCUGUUGCAAUGUAGUUAUUCUCUAACCAUAAAGCACUGACUCCCUUAUUCUUUUGGAGACUCUGCCUGUUAAAGGCUAGUGACAGCCUUCAGUCUUUGGGGUUUUGCUGUUUGGUUUUUUUUUUUUAAUUGUUUUCUUGAUUUUAGUUGCUUGUUUUGCCAAUCAUCUAUUUAAAACAUGUGAUCAUUUUGAUUGUAUAAAGUUAAAUAAAACUGACUGUUUAGAACCCGAGCACCUGGAUUCUCCUUUUAUUUUAGUUUGACUAUUUGCCUUCUAUGAGCAGAUCUGUUUUUUGUGGGUUUUUUUCCUGCUGUUUCCAUUGCUCUUGUUAAUUCUGCUGCUUUGGGCCAUGUUAAAUUUGCUUUUGCCAGGAAUCUCUCAUUUAUUACAGAGCAUUCAUUCUCUCAGUAUGUCCUUUAGGACAUUUCUAAAUGGGCAGGAUUCUGUUGGCCUGUUAGGCUGUCACAUACACAGUUAUAGUAUCAUGGAACUGUAAUGUCAUAUUGCCUUUUCCUAUAAUAAAAUAUUUUACAAUGGUGUUGGGUUUGAUAUGUUACUCUUUUACAAUUAUUUGUAGAUGUUCUGAGGUUUUAUCUCCUGGUUUCUGAGACUGCUACAAACUGCUUAAGACAGGGAUCUCCCAAAGGCCAUUUUAGUGACCUUCGGCAAGUUCAUGGCAAAUAAAUAAUGGGAUUGAACCUAAUUUCCUUUACAAAGGAAAGCACUGUGGCUGUAAGUAUAAAUGUUUAUAUACUCAUCUGAGAUACUGCAGUAAAAGUGUCCUGUCAACCACAAACCAGCAUUAUUUAUUGGAAUGGCUAAAACUGAAUGAUGAAAAUGCUAACACUAUCUACUCAAUCUGCAUACUUGUUAGUGUGUCAUAAACACAACACUUCCCAUCAAAUGCACUCUUCCUGAUAUGAAUCAAGUGUUUUUAUUACAGUGCUCUGCACUAUUCAUCAGUCUGAGUCUCUGGCCUGAACUGCCAAAUACAAAAUGCUUGCUGAUUUUCAGGGAUGUCACCACAUAGUCAUGUGCUUUUGGUUAGAGUAAUGGGCUAUCAGCAAAACAUAUACAAAAAAUAAUUACAAACAUUUAAAACUGAGUUUUGGGUAUUUGUACCAGCAAGACAAUUCAAGUACUUGCUUCUGCAAUUAGUGGGCAUGCCCUAGUUCUAUACAUGGAAUUUGGACUUUCAUGCAUUGUUAAAAAUGAACCAAAAUAUUUAUAGAGAAUCCCUGUGUGACACUGUUAGUUUCACUAUCAGACAUGGGAUGGUCUGUUGCACUUGAAGAUUUUAUCCUUCCCUAUACAUAGCAUGACACCUGUGUUUUCUCUAUUUCUCUGUUUAAAAUGCUGGACAUUUUGGGUAGGCAAUCCAUGCCAAUACAGGAAGCUGUUAUUGCUUAACAGUUUAUAGAUCAACAAGAAAUUGCAUUCUAAAUCUUGGAUGCUUAGAUCUGUAAAUCCUAUUGAAGACAAUAAUCAAUCCAGAUGACAAAUAAAGCUCAAGAUGGGCAGUUUGCAAGUUUUAGAAAAGAGACCAAGUCUCCUUGACACUGGAAAAAAACCCCAUUCUCUUGAAGAAGUCUCUCAGAAAACUCAGUGUUUCAUUGGCUUACUUACUGUCAUUUUUGGUUAAUUAAUCCCUGUGUCAGUCCCAUACUCUCUUAAGGGGUUAUGUCCAGUGCUGUACACCAAGUGUUAAACAAUCAGUGAUCUUCACCUUGUGAAAAAUCUCAAAAAGUGUGUUAUGCGUGGGACGUGCAAAAAGUCAAAGUUUGAAAUACAGAAGCAGCUGUAAACAUCACACUUUCCUAGGUGUUUUGUGAUGAUAGGAAACCUGAUGUACUGUGAGAUUGUUGUAUAGAAGGUUACAGUAUUGUGGAAGGUCUAUUUAUGUUUACUGCAAACACAUUUAAUUUGGUACACAGAAAAAAAUUGGAGAUGUUGAAAAAAUGUGAGAAUUGUUGUGCAUUUUGUGUUCUAAUUGAACAAAAAUGGUACCAGUGAGAACACUGCAUUAUUUUUGAUGGAAUUUCUCUUUUCUUGUAUGAAAUUAAGGUUCUUGUGAAGACAAAGACAUUAGAUUCUCCUUUGGAACUAACCUUAUGUAAAAUGAGAAGGGUAAUCUUUUGCUCUUGGUAGAAAGCAAGGCCUCAAUAAGACAUAAAUAAUUUUAGAAUUUCCCAGUGACUGUGAACAAAUUACUGAUGUUCCCUGAGGCUGUUUUACUUGACUAGUAGGAAAAUACUAAGUUUUCUAUCUCUACUAUUGCAAAGUUCAUCUCUUGAAAAUGCUUUUUGUUAUUAUUAUUGCAGUAAAAAGGGAUUGUACCCUCUGUUAGAGGUUGUACAGCAGCAAAGAGGGAAGUAAGCAAAUUAAUGUCUAGAAAAAUAUGGAUAAAAUUUCAUUUAGAUGCUUUAAAUCCCAUGUUUUCAUAUUUCCUUGUAUUUCUUCCCCAACUUGAGCCCCAGGCAUGUACAACAAUGCCUUGGUGAAGCAUUUUAUUUAAUACUUCAGGGACACAGAGAAGAGACUUUGUACCCCACAAGCUGUUUAUCUCUAAAGCUGACCUAUAACCACACUAUUGGCACCAAUAGUGCUGCUACCAAAAGGAAUUCUAAAUGUUGUAAAUGCCAAAGAAGCUAUGGGGCUUUUUUUAAGAGCCAGCUCUGGAGAAAAGACCAUCUAAAUAUUUCAGUUCAUUUUAAUCUUUUUUGUUUAACAGCUCCACCUUGAGAAUUUCACAUUAUUGAUGGUCAGCUUUUAAAAUUUGGGAUAUAAUUUCCCUCUAAGUCAUGUAUGCUGAAAUGUCCUUUAUUUCCUACUGAGAAGUCUGGGUGAUACUGGUAGAGAACCAUAGGUGAACACAAUCAAAAAUCUAUAUUUAUAUUUUUUACUCUUUAGUUGUUUUUAGGUGGUCUCUCUAUGUAUGGAUUUAUGAUUCAUUCUUGUUUGAAAAACACCCAGAGUUUCAAACUGGAUUGGACUUGGUCGAUCUCUGUUUUUUGGGUUUUUUUGGUUGUUUUGUUUUGUUUUUUUUUUUUUUUUUUUUUGACAAUACAGUUUAAAGGAAUAAGCCUGGAAAUGCUGACAUAAAUUUUGUUUCAAUUUGGUACUACACAAGAAACAAUUCUCUGGAAGAGGAUUUCCAAUCUGAGAAAUGGGCAUUGUAACAUCUGUUUUGUACAGCAGCCUAUGUGGGUUAACUAAUGAACUCUGAAAAAAUUAUUACUGAGUUUUUGAAUAGAAAUUAUUUCUGCACAAUAACUGCAGAAAUGUUAGAGUAACUGCAGUUUUAAAUCCCAGACUGAGGAUUGACAAAAAAACCCCCAAAAACAGAGAAGACCAGCUUAGCAUUUCAAACAUCCUCUGAAAUGUGAGGGCACAGAAUGACCUGGAGGAUGCCUGAUUUUUGGAAGAAAACUGGUGAUUAAUUUGUAGAGCAUCAAAGACCCUCUUGGUAUGUAUUAAAACUGAUCUUCUCUUAUAAGUUUGGGAAAAAGUCAAAAUAACUCAGUUCCUCUAAAAUUACAAAGGAAUAAAUCAAGGACAUCCAUA